rnacentral:lncRNA from 1 species
AAACAGUGCCCUAGAUAGCUCACGGGUCCCCCUUUUAACAGUGGGGUCCCGACGUUGGGUCGACUCAAGAAUUUUCUUGGGUCGACUCAACGUUGGGUCGACCCUAUUCUGGGUUGGGUCGACCCAAGUUCAGAAAUUUUUCCUUUCUCUUCCUUUUCCCUUCUAAUCCUUUCUUCCAAUCCUUACAAAUUCUUUCUGGGACAAUGAUACAUGAGUAAGGAAUCUAUAGAUGAUAAGUUUGACUCAUGUUUCA